GAAUUUGUCAGAUCAAUAUUUAAUAAAAUACAACAACAGUAUAUGUACACACUGUUCGUUAUACAAAACUAAUGUUAUGUACAUCGUAUACAUAUAUAAUAUAAUAAGUGAUUGAGCAUACUAUAACGUAUAAAUAGGGUAAAUAACCAUGUAGCUUAAAAAAAUUCUUUCUUUUAAAAGAAAAGAAAAAUUAUUUCAAAUUACAAAAUCAAAGACAAAAUGAUGUUGACAUCUAACGUAUAACUUGAACAUACCUCUCGCUGGCAAUGCUUGAAUUUCGCGACAUUGAUUUUGGUGACAUUUCGAAAUCCGAAUCGGAUCGGUAUAAGAAUGAUUCUCUACGUUGUGGAAGAUUUUGUAAAACAAGUCCGGCACUUGGAGAUCCACCCUCCAGGGGUGAUCGAGCGCCUUGUCCAUUUUCAACAUCAAAACUGCGAAUGAAAGAGAUGAAAAGUUGUUAGUAAAAAAGUGUAAUGCUGGUUAAUUUUCAAAAAAAUAUAGGGAAUUGCUUAAUUGAUUAGUUGUCUUGUAUAUGUUAUUGGAAGCGGUAUUCAAAGCCAUUGAAAUAGUAGUAAUUUUCAAUGACAUUUUCGGUUGACAUUUUUAGUACUAAUUUGGAAAGUUAAUUGU